rnacentral:rRNA from 1 species
GCUAAACACUUCUUUGGAAUUAUCCAACACAUAUAUACAAUGUUUGCCAAUUCUACUAAUAAAUGGCAUAUUCUGGAAAAUAACAUAACAAGAUUAACUCCCAAGUCAGUGUCAGCUACACGUCAGGAGAGUCGUGUUGACAGUGUUAAAGCUAUUUAACUUCAAUGUGCAAACCCCCACAAAAAAACCUUCAAUGUGCAAACAUUCGGGAGGCCCUACUUCAGGUACCCAAUAUUUUCAUAUUAUAAUGAUGUGAUUUCUUUGGCUUUCUCCCACUAUAACAUAUUAUAA